GUUAUAACAGUCAUUUUACACCAACACAUCCUUCUAGAAUCUGUUCUUGCUCACCGACAUACUCCAUUUGCUUUUCAACCAACUUUUUCCCUUUUUCCAUUCUACCUUUUAGUUUUGGCUUAAUUUUCUCUUCCAAUUUCUGGUAAGUUUUCUUUCGAUUCUUGUUUUAUUUUUGUUCAAUUCUUUUCUAAUCUCUGAACAUAUAGAGAAGUAUAGGGUUCCAUAAAUCCUCAGACGAGCUCCUGGUGUGAAGUCUGUGGAGAGAGAUUGGAAAGUGAGGAGGCUUACAACUCACACACCACAAUUUUUGGGGCUUCCUACAGGAGUAUUGCCAAAAAGGUGGUGGGUUUGACAGAGCAGGGGAGGAUAUCGUAAUAGGUUUCAUCGACUCUGGCAUCUAUCCACACCAUACCAGUUUUGCAAGCCACAACACCGAACCCUAUGGACCUCUUCCAAAGUAUGGAGGAACAUGUGAAAUUGAUCCUAGCACCAAGAAAGACUAUUGCAAUGGGAAGAUUAUAGGUGCUCAACAUUUUUCCGAAGCUGCAAAAGCAGCUGGUUCAUUUAAUCCUGCAAUGGAUUUUGAUUCUCCUCUAGACGGUGAUGGACACGGAAGCCUGAUGUUGUGGUUAAUUGUGCUGCACUUUCUUUUCCACGUGCCUGCGAAGUGGAUCCUACUGCUGCCAUGGCUAUUAAUGUACCUUUUGUUCUUGUUAAAUGGUUGUCGAGUUUUAGCAAUGGUGGCUCUCUUCUAAUUCACUUGUCUACUGAUCAAGGACUUCUGGGAGUGAAAAGUUGCAAAGCUGAGUACGCAAGUCCUCAGCUAUUUGCCAUGCUCCGGUUCUACUGGUUACCAGGCGGUCAAUUCUUCCCUCAUCUUACAUACUGUUUCAAUGUUGCUUUGGAGCCUUUGCCUCUGUCUCCACUGAUAUAGCAGAUUCUCCUUUUUCUUUUGUUGAAAAAAGGAUCACCUAUUUCAUUAGAUGUAAAAGUUUAUCCACUCAAUGAAAUUUUCAGUUAGAUGUGAAGAUGCAAUUUUUGGUUUUCAAACAGUUCUUAACAAUUGAUGUAUCACUUUGACAGUUUUAUUUGUUGUUUAGUUACAUACUCUUCAUGAUAUAGCCCAUGAGGAAUGAGGUGCACGUCUUAGAGCUUUUGUGCCUGCAUGGAAGCGCCACCUAAGUGAGAUUUUGCGCCUAACCCUCCGCUGCGCCUAGCUUCACGGCUUGAGCUCACCUCAAUUAAGUCUUUAACAACAACACUGGCAAUCAAUAUCAUACAAGGCGGACCCAGCUUGAAAAUUGUGGUGCUCCGGCACCCAUUAAACCCAACCCAGAAUAGGGACAAAAUACUUCUACAAGGAAGAUGACGAGACCCUUCCAGUGAAUGUUUAUACAAGUUCAAAGGUAGCAGCAGAGCAAUUUAUAUCUGCAAAUUACUCGAACUUUGCAAUUUUAAGGAGCAGUAUUAUUUAUGGACCGCAGACCGUCUCCCCCGUCCCAAAAUCACUUCCAGUUCAGGUGAAUACAAUGAACUUCACCUUGUUCUUGCAGUUGUCCAAUUUCACUAAGGGGUUGUUCUGUUCUUUGAUCUCAUCUUCUCGUGUUGCGGAUGUCAGGUUAUCUUUUAUCUCAUUUCCUCCCAAAUUUCUUUCAUCCUUUUCCUAUUUUCUAAUUUCAUGACUUAUUCUGUCUAACUUUCUGUCUUAAUGUACUGGAGUGUAAAUUUUCUUCCUUAUUUCUCUUUAUUCUCUUUAAUUUGUUGAUAUUUAUUUUGAUCAAAUCAAACUUUCAGGGACUAUUUUCAGUUGGAACUUCAUCUUCUCCAUUGGGUGUUUCAAUGUUACGUAUGUUUUCUUUCGAUUUUUUUUCUGAAAUUUAUGGUUGAUAUUAUUAUUGUUUUGCCUAAUAUCUCUCCGAUUUUGUGGUUAAGUGGAGAUUUUUGUAAGUGCGAUAUUUUUAUUGUUGCAUAAUAAGCCUUUAGAAGACAACACAUUAUGUGUAUUAUUUUAGGUUGGGCUACAUAAUAAUAAUUAUGACUUGGAUGCCUUAAUUGUCAAAUAUCUCAACUGGACUUUAGUAAACUAUUCCUAAAAGUGAUGUUGAUGAUCUAAGAAUCAUUGCUUAGUAGUCUGUGGGACAUUCCCGAAAUAACUUACCGAAAUAACAAGGAUGCUUAAGUCUAAUAGAGUAGUUAAUUAUUUUGGUGCACAUAGAGCUAGCCAUCAACGAGUCGAAAUGUUGUGUGGAGAAGUGGUGAAGGCAGCUGAAUAGAUCUCUGAGUACUUUCAGAUUUCACUAUGUUCUUUUCUCUUUUGCUUAUUAAACAUUACUCACUUGACAUAGGUUAGAAUGCUAUGUAUUUUCUUUUUGUUCAGUAUAAAAUGAGCUACAGAUUCGACCAUGGCAGUUUCAUCAAUGAAUGAUUGGGAAGGUCGAUAGCAAAUGUUAACUAUGAUAAGUUUUAUAGGAUACAAUACUUGCUAGUUGAACUAUUGCCUUAUCUCUAUAGAGCUGUAAUAGUCCAAGAUUUAUCCCAUUUGAAGAAAACAUGAAAAAUAAAUUUUACUGUGAAGUGAAUAUAAGAAAAUGUACAAGUGUUUCUUCAUUUUUCACAAAUAAUCUACAAUUUGGAAACUAAUUAUAUUGCAAUAUAUUAACACAAGUUUCCUUAUGUGGAGCAAAAGCACUUGCGGAUGACCAUAUAUAAAGAUAUCCAUAAGCAGGAAUAAAAGCAAUUAUGAUUUCAUUAUUAUGUAAACUACUUUAGCAAAAAUUAGGACGAUAAAUUUUUGUAUGUUUAUUCAGAUAGUGUUGAGACAGCGGGGUCAACAGAAAUUUAUGAGCUUUUGACUUAAAUGUGUGGCCUAUGUAUUUGUAGAUUGCGCUACUCAAGCUUCAGGUAUUUGCAGAUCUUUACUUCUAUUAUCUGCUUACUGAUAUUAACUAGAAGCUAAGUUAAUUUUUUAUCAUUUUUGAAAAUACUUUUGACUAUUGAUGUUUUUUAUCCGAAGAUUUAGCUAAUUGCAGUUAAUAUAGGUAAGGUUAAUAACCCUGACUUAGAAAGCAUGACUAUGAUACAUGAACAAUCGCCAAAAUUAUCAUGGUAAGCUUCUUAUACACUAUAUUUUUAAUAUCAUUUCAUCAAACGCACCCUACCAUUAUAGAGAUUUUAAGAUGGUGUAUAUGGUAAAAAAAAUAUGAAUAAGUUUAAUAUAUACAUGGCUUCAGCAAAUUAAGUCAUGCUGCUAUUUUAUUUGUUAUUUCCAAAAUAUAGAAGAAGAGGUAUGGCGCUGCAAAAAAAUGGAUGAUUUAUAAAAGCUUUGCUUACAAUAAACCUAUACUUCAUUUUAGACAAUAUAUUAGCAAGAGUAUAUAGUAAUUGUGGCAUGUAUAGUCUAAGAAUAUAGUUGUCUCUUUGAAUCAUUGUCCAUCUCUUCUAAAAUCAUCUAAAGAUGGUGUCUACAUUUGAAGAAAACUUAGUAGCAAGUUGUAGAUUCCCAUACACCAACCAAUCAGAAUGUUUUGAAGCCUCAAAAUGAUGUCGACUUUGAAGGGCUAAACUUCUCAUUUUUUGGGUCCUCCCUUUGUUGUUUUCUGUUAUCACCGAAGU